rnacentral:rRNA from 1 species
GAUGAACGCUAGCGGCAGGCUUAACACAUGCAAGUCGAGGGGUAACAUGAGUGCUUGCACUUGAUGACGACCGGCGCACGGGUGCGUAACGCGUAUAGAACCUACCUUUUACUGGAGAAUAGCCCAGAGAAAUUUGGAUUAAUGCUCCAUAGUAUUAUUGAGUGGCAUCAUUUAAUAAUUAAAGAUUUAUUGGUAAAAGAUGGCUAUGCGUUCUAUUAGUUAGUUGGUAAGGUAACGGCUUACCAAGACAUCGAUAGAUAGGGGUCCUGAGAGGGAGAUCCCCCACACUGGUACUGAGACACGGACCAGACUCCUACGGGAGGCAGCAGUGAGGAAUAUUGGACAAUGGAGGCAACUCUGAUCCAGCCAUGCCGCGUGAAGGAAGACUGCCCUAUGGGUUGUAAACUUCUUUUGUAUAGGAAGAAACGUAGUUACGUGUAACUAUUUGACGGUACUAUAAGAAUAAGGAUCGGCUAACUCCG